GCCAUGGCCGGGACAAAAUUGCUCAUUGCAUAGGGUCCCGUCUCCCGUGUCGUUUGUUGGGAUGGAGUCCCAGUAUUCUCCAAUUCAUUCGUGUGUGGGAGUAUGCAUGGGUUGAGGUCAACGACUUGGCGCUUCCCACAUCAAGAUUUACCCCCCAUUCAUGUCCUUGGUCGAACGAAGUUGAAUCUUAGUGAAAAUUGAGGUUGUACCCCCAGGCUUCCCACAUCCCCCCCCCCCCAUCGAGGUAGCAUCAUAGAGGAGAAAAGAAGGAAGUAUCGAGAGAAGAUACUUAUCUCCUAGCCGCCGCGGGUCUUCCUGCACCACGACACGUCACCACUGCAUCGACCCGCCACAACACCGCUAGCCUGACUUCACCGCCACCGUAGGUAUAACCUCUAUUUCUUUAUCAUGGUCGUAGAUCAGGUAACCCAGUUAAGCGUCUCUUGUUCGAAAGAAAUACAAUUGCAAAUAUGCAGAUCUUUACAUAUCGAUAAUCGUAUCUGUUUCGAAUUGUCCACAUUUUUUGGACAGCCCGCUAAUGCGUAGAUGGGGUUAGUUUCCAUGUUAUGCUCCUGUCCGAGACAGAGUUUUGGCAGCACCUCCUUGUUGUUCUCUAGAUACACACACUCCCUACAAGGAUGUAUAUUUGGAGAACAGCGGGGAUGUGCUACCAAAAUUCUAUCCCGAAUCAGAGUAGAGAAUGGAAACUAACCCCACCUAUGCAACCGUGGGUGGAAUUACGACCUAUCCUCACCAAUUAGAAGGUAGGAACAUACUGUAGAUGCAUUACAUGUUUAUAUUACACUAUGCUAUUAUCUAUGUUAGAGGAUGGAGGACCGUGAGUAGAUGUACACAGGCCACAUAAGAAGAAAAGAUGUCACCCUUGAAUGAAUUACAAAGACCAAUGCUUUCUUGGAAUGAGUAUUUGGCAAAGCUGCUAAAGGAGCGAGUCUAGUCCCAUGUUCGUGCAACAAAUGUGCAAAUAGGAAAAGACAAACAAAGAAUGCCAUGGGAGAACAUAUUUGGAAGAAUGGAUUUAUGACAGACUAUACCCGGUGGAUCUUCCAUGGUGAAGCAUAUCGUACGAGAGAGGAGGUGGUGAGACAACGCAUCAAGGAUUAUGAUGCUGAUGCAGGGGUAGCGGACAUGUUGAACGACUAUCACGAGGCAUAGUUCGCUGAAGAACUUAUGGAGGAUGAGCCAGAAGCAUAUCGUACGAGAGAGAAGGCGUUCUACGACAUGUUUAAUGCGACACAGAAACCCCUUCAUGGCAAGACAAAGGUUUCUCAACUAGAUGUCAUUGGAUGAAUAAUUGCGUUAGAGUUGUUGUAUAGUUUGAGUCGAGACGCCUUCGAUGGUUUGUUGACAGUUAUUGGUAGUUUUCUUUUGGAGGAUCAUGUUCUGCCAAAGAGCCUGUAUGAGGCACAGAAACUCCUUCGUGCACUCAAGAUGAUGUAUGAGCAGAUACAUGCUUGUUUGAA